UACGGGGGGGGCAAGCGUUGUUCGGAAUUACUGGGCGUAAAGGGCUCGUAGGCGGCCAACUAAGUCGGACGUGAAAUCCCCAGGCUCAACCUGGGAACUGCGUCCGAUACUGGAUGGCUUGAAUCCGGGAGAGGGAUGCAGAAUUCCAGGUGUAGCGGUGAAAUGCGCAGAGAUCGGGAGGAACACCCGUAGCGAAGGCGGCACUCUGGGCCGUGACUGACGCUGAGGAGCGAAAGCGUGGGGAGCAAACAGG
rnacentral:rRNA from 1 species